GACCAUGGCUCAGUGGUAGAACAUCUGCUCGACAUGCAGAAGGUACCAGGUUCGCUCCCCAGCAUUUAGUCA
rnacentral:tRNA from 1 species